GAUGAACGCUGGCGGCGUGCCUAAUACAUGCAAGUCGAGCGAAUGGAUUGAGAGCUUGCUCUCAAGAAGUUAGCGGCGGACGGGUGAGUAACACGUGGGUAACCUGCCCAUAAGACUGGGAUAACUCCGGGAAACCGGGGCUAAUACCGGAUAAUAUUUUGAACUGCAUGGUUCGAAAUUGAAAGGCGGCUUCGGCUGUCACUUAUGGAUGGACCCGCGUCGCAUUAGCUAGUUGGUGAGGUAACGGCUCACCAAGGCAACGAUGCGUAGCCGACCUGAGAGGGUGAUCGGCCACACUGGGACUGAGACACGGCCCAG
rnacentral:rRNA from 1 species